AUUGACUUCUAUCAUGCUAUCAUUUUUUUCUAUUGAAUUAUAUGCUGCUUUUCUUCUUAUUGGAUACUAAGUGGCAGGACAUUCAAUGCUGGCUACAUCUGCCCACACCCAUUUUAAAGGUUGACAGUCAAGUAAAGAAUAACAUUGAAUUAGCAGAGCCUAGACUCCUAAAAAAAUCUGGAGGUGUAAAGAUACUAAACACAUACUCCAUGAUGAAAGCACAGCAAAUUUCCAUAUUGGCAGCUAUUCACCAUCUAGUUGACUAGUCCCAUUAUUACAAAAUUAUGAUGGCAGUCAUUGUCAGUACAGAAUUUUAUCAUUGAUUGCCAUUGUAUGCAUAGAUCAUUGUAAGUUGGACUGUCAUAAGUCAGAUUCUCUCUGUAUUUUCACAUUUUAAGAAUAGAUUAAUCUGCUAUAAAGUGAGCCAUUUCAUUUAAGAAUCUUAAUGCAUCUAAUAUUAUAUGAUAUCUUGAAUGACUUAGAUAUGUCAUUUUCUAUAAUAUAGUGAAAUAUAAUAGUUAUAAUAUCAGAC
rnacentral:lncRNA from 1 species